rnacentral:rRNA from 1 species
UACGAAGGGGUCCAAGCGUUGUUUCGGAAUUACUGGGCGUAAAGCGCGCGUAGGCGGGCUUGUAAGUCGAUUGUGAAAGCCCUGGGCUCAACCCGGGAACAGCAGUCGAAACUGCAGGCCUUGAAUGUCUGAGAGGAUGGCGGAAUAACCGGUGUAGUAGUGAAAUACGUAGAUAUCGGUUAGAACACCUGAGGCGAAGGCGGCUAUCUGGCGGAACAUU